ACGGGUGAGUAAUACAUCGGAACGUGCCCUGUUGUGGGGGAUAACUAGUCGAAAGAUUAGCUAAUACCGCAUACGACCUGAGGGUGAAAGCGGGGGACCGUAAGGCCUCGCGCAAUAGGAGCGGCCGAUGUCUGAUUAGCUAGUUGGUGGGGUAAAAGCUCACCAAGGCGACGAUCAGUAGCUGGUCUGAGAGGACGAUCAGCCACACUGGGACUGAGACACGGCCCAGACUCCUACGGGAGGCAGCAGUGGGGAAUUUUGGACAAUGGGGGCAACCCUGAUCCAGCAAUGCCGCGUGUGUGAAGAAGGCCUUCGGGUUGUAAAGCACUUUUGUCCGGAAAGAAAUCGCGUUGGAUAAUACCUAGCGUGGAUGACGGUACCGGAAGAAUAAGCACCGGCUAACUACGUGCCAGCAGCCGCGGUAAUACGUAGGGUGCGAGCGUUAAUCGGAAUUACUGGGCGUAAAGCGUGCGCAGGCGGUUUUGUAAGACAGGCGUGAAAUCCCCGAGCUCAACUUGGGAAUUGCGCUUGUGACUGCAAGGCUAGAGUGUGUCAGAGGGGGGUAGAAUUCCACGUGUAGCAGUG
rnacentral:rRNA from 1 species